GAGGGCAUAGCUCAGUGGUAGAGCGCGUGCUGAAUGUGCACAAGGUCCUGAGUUCAAUCCCCAGUACCUCCA
rnacentral:tRNA from 1 species